GAUGAACGCUGGCGGCGUGCCUAAUACAUGCAAGUCGAGCGAACGGACGAGAAGCUUGCUUCUUUGAUGUUAGCGGCGGACGGGUGGGUAACACGUGGAUAACCUACCUAUAAUACUGGGAUAACUUCGGGAAACCGGAGCUAAUACCGUAUAAUAUUUUGAACCGCAUGGUUCAAAAGUGAAAGACGGUCUUGCGGUCACUUAUAGAUGGAUCCGCGCUGCAUUAGCUAGUUGGUAAGGUAACGGCUUACCAAGGCAACGAUGCAUAGGCGAACGGUGGGGCGGGUCGGCGACCUGGGAGGGGAGCCACGGUCAAUACUCCUACGGUAGGGCGCAGAAGGGUACCUGACGCAAUGGGCGAAAGCCUGACGCAGCAACGCGGAGUGAGAGAUGACAGUCUUGGGAUCGGAAUACCCUGUUACUAGGGAAGAACCGAUGUGGCAGUAACCGUGCAGAGAUUGACGGUAACUAAUCAGAAAGCACCGGCUAACUACGUG
rnacentral:rRNA from 1 species